rnacentral:rRNA from 1 species
AAUCAAGCGCGAGAAGGGCGUUUGGUGAAUGCCUUGGCAGUAAGAGGCGAUGAAGGACGUGAUACCCUGCGAUAAGCCAUGAGGAGCCGGGAAUAGGCUGUGAUCCAUGGAUUUCCGAAUGGGGCAACCCACCUGAUACUCAGUUAUUGAUAGCCGCAAGGUUAUGGAUAAUUGGGUAAGACAGGGACUUGUUGACUGAAUACAUAGGUCUUCAAGAGCAAACCCGGGGAACUGAAACAUCUAAGUACCCGGAGGAAAGGACAGCAAUAGCGACUCCCCUAGUAGCGGCGAGCGAACGGGGAUCAGCCGAGCCUGAUAAGUGACCAGAAUGCGUUGGGAAGCGCAGCCAGAGCGGGUGACAGCCCCGUAUGGGAAGCUUUGAAGGACGUAUCAAGUAGGGCGGGACACGUGAAAUCCUGUCUGAAGAUCGGAGGACCACCUUCGAAGGCUAAGUACUCCUUACUGACCGAUAGCGAACCAGUACCGUGAGGGAAAGGUGAAAAGCACCCCG